rnacentral:rRNA from 1 species
CCAGGAUUAGAUACCCUAUUAUAAUUAAAGUGAAAUGUGUACCAGAGUAUUAAUAGUUAUUUUCUUUAAAUUCAAAGAAUUUGGCGGUAUUUUAGUCCUCUUAGAGGAACCUGUUUCGUAAACGAUAAACCACGAAAAUCUUACCUGUUUUGUGUUUGUAUACCGUCAUUAUCAGAUAACCUUAGAAAGAGUUAGUUGUUGAAAUGAAUAAAAAUUAAGAAAAUUAGAUCAAGGUGCAGCUAUAAAUAGGAGAAAAUGGGUUACAAUAAAAAUAAUUUAUACGGAGUUGUUUCUGAAGGGAAACUAAGAAGGCGGAUUUAAUUGUAAUUUUGUUUAAUUUAAGCAAUUUGAUAUAGGCUCUAAAAUAUGUACAUAUCGCCCGUCGC